UGCAGUCGAGCGGCAGCGGGAAGUAGCUUGCUACUUUGCCGGCGAGCGGCGGACGGGUGAGUAAUGUCUGGGAAACUGCCUGAUGGAGGGGGAUAACUACUGGAAACGGUAGCUAAUACCGCAUGACCUCGNAAGAGCAAAGUGGGGGACCUUCGGGCCUCACGCCAUCGGAUGUGCCCAGAUGGGAUUAGCUAGUAGGUGGGGUAAUGGCUCACCUAGGCGACGAUCCCUAGCUGGUCUGAGAGGAUGACCAGCCACACUGGAACUGAGACACGGUCCAGACUCCUACGGGAGGCAGCAGUGGGGAAUAUUGCACAAUGGGCGCAAGCCUGAUGCAGCCAUGCCGCGUGUGUGAAGAAGGCCUUAGGGUUGUAAAGCACUUUCAGCGAGGAGGAAGGGUUCAGUGUUAAUAGCACUGUGCAUUGACGUUACUCGCAGAAGAAGCACCGGCUAACUCCGUGCCAGCAGCCGCGGUAAUACGGAGGGUGCAAGCGUUAAUCGGAAUUACUGGGCGUAAAGCGCACGCAGGCGGUUUGUUAAGUCAGAUGUGAAAUCCCCGAGCUUAACUUGGGAACUGCAUUUGAAACUGGCAAGCUAGAGUCUUGUAGAGGGGGGUAGAAUUCCAGGUGUA
rnacentral:rRNA from 1 species